UCAGAGAGGAGAAAGCUGAGGUCCAGCAAGGGGCAGCACCUCUGACCAUGGCUACUUGGCCUCAAGGCCUUGUGGACCCCUGAGAAUCACCCCUCAAGGUGUACACAGUGCCCUCCUGCUGCCUCCAUGCCCCCGCUCCAGCAUAGGCCUUCCUGUCCUGCUCAGGGACAGGUCUCCACGGAGCUCAACAUGAGACCCACUCUGCUGAAGGUGGCUUCCAGGUCUUGUACCUGGGACAGCCUUCCCCAUCUACAGCCAAGUGCCCGGAUGCGCCCUGCCUGGCUCUGA
rnacentral:lncRNA from 1 species